GAUGAACGCUAGCGGCAGGCUUAACACAUGCAAGUCGAGGGGUAUUGGUUUUCGGACCAAGAGACCGGCGCACGGGUGCGUAACGCGUAUGCAAUCUACCUUUUGCAGAGGGAUAGCCCCAGAGAAAUUUGGAUUAAUACCUCAUAGUAUAGUACUUUGGCAUCAAGGAACUAUUAAAGUCACAACGGCAAAAGAUGAGCAUGCGUCCCAUUAGCUAGUUGGUAAGGUAACGGCUUACCAAGGCUACGAUGGGUAGGGGUCCUGAGAGGGAGAUCCCCCANACUGGUACUGAGACACGGACCAGACUCCUACGGGAGGCAGCAGUGAGGAAUAUUGGACAAUGGGCGCAAGCCUGAUCCAGCCAUGCCGCGUGCAGGAUGACGGUCCUAUGGAUUGUAAACUGCUUUUAUACAGGAAGAAACACUCCGACGUGUCGGAGCUUGACGGUACUGUAAGAAUAAGGAUCGGCUAAACU
rnacentral:rRNA from 1 species